UACGUAGGGGGCUAGCGUUGUCCGGAAUCAUUGGGCGUAAAGCGCGCGUAGGCGGCCCGGUAAGUCCGCUGUGAAAGUCAAAGGCUCAACCUUUGAAUGUCAGCGGAUACUGCCGGGCUAGAGUCCGGAAGAGGCGAGUGGAAUUCCUGGUGUAGCGGUGAAAUGCGCAGAUAUCAGGAGGAACACCAAUGGCGAAGGCAGCUCGCUGGGACGUGACUGACGCUGAGACGCGAAAGCGUGGGGAGCAAACAGG
rnacentral:rRNA from 1 species